ACAAAUUCAUGAAGCUUUUUCUUAUGGUAUAUUUUCAGACCUUACUGAGAGUUCAACCACUACAGCAGCCCCACAACCAUCUACAACCACACGAGGAGGUAGCACUGAGAGUCUGACCACCACAGCAGCCCCACAACGAUCUUCAACCACACCAGGUCUACUUGUGGAUCAUCUUGCUGGGCUGGUACCAGUAGGCGGGCUGGUGGUGGUGGUGGUGGUGGUAUGCAUCAGGAUAUGUAAAAACAAAAAGUUGAAGGAAGAACCUCCCUUGGCCGAGCUCCAAGUUCUAAAUCAAAACACAUCAAUGGGCACAGCAGAACAAUGAAAAUGAUAUCUUGUUACUAAGGCUGGCCAGACAAUCUGGACCCUCUCUUUCUAAAACUAUCCUCCGCCAUUGUUGCAACCCCUAUUACCAGCCUGUUCAACCUCUCUUUUGUAUCGUCCAAGAUCCCUAAAGAUUGGAAAGCUGCCGCGGUCAUCCCCCUCUUCAAAGGGGGUGACACCCAAGACCCAAAUCACCUUAUACCACCCACCACUGUGACCUGUAUGCUCUAGUCGGCUGGCCCUCGCUACAUAUUCAUCACCAGACUCACUGGCUCCAGGUCAUCUAUAAGUCUAUACUAGGUAAAGCUCCGCCUUAUCUCAGUUCACUGGUCACGAUAACAACACCCACCCGUAGCACACGUUCCAGCAGGUAUAUCUCACUGAUCAUCCCCAAAGCCAACACCUCAUUUGGCCGCCUUUCCGUCCAGGUCUCUGCUGACUGACUGGAACGAAUUGCAAAAAUCGCUGAAGUUGGAGACUUAUUUCCCUCACCAACUUUAAACAUCAACUAUCUGAGCAGCUAACCGAUCGCUGCAGCUGUACAUAGUCAAUCUCUAAAUAGCCCACCCAAUCUACCUACCCCAUCCCAUACUGUUUUUAUUGUAUUUACUUUUCUGCUCUUUUGCACACCAGUAUCUCUACUUGCACAUCAUCUGCUCAUUUAUCACCCAUGUUAAUCUGCUAAAUUGUAAUUAUUUUCUCCUAUGACCUAUUUAUUGCCUACCGCCUCAUGCCUUUUGCACACACUGUAUAUAGACUUUCUUUUUUCUACUGUGUCAUUGACUUGUUUAUUGUUUACUCCAUGUGUAACUCUGUUGUCUGUCACACUGCUAUGCUUUAUCUUGGCCAGGUCGCAGUUGCAAAUGAGAACUUGUUCUCAACUAGCCUACCUGGUUAAAUAAAGGUGAAAUUAAAAAUGGAAAUAUUGCCCUGUCUGUGGGCUUGCCAUGAGCAUUUCUAAUCAAUCAAAUCAAACUCACGGGCAUGUUGAUUGCUGCUUUGCGCCGGUGGAAUCUUUUUGAAAGUGCCUUCUAAAUGCAAUGUCCCAUUCACUUCUAUUGGGCGUCAGCUAGUGGUGGCUUAAGUUAUGUGACGUUUUGAAGUGGCUGUUUAAAGGGAACAGAACAAUGCAUUACUGUUUCUCCUGGCCCAAAGACUUGACAGAGUGAGGAGCCUAACAAUAAGUUGUGUAAAAUCCUAAACUAUCCCUUUAAACCCUCAGCCUUACUGUACAACUACUGUACUUUUCUUCAACCUUUAUAACAGUUGAUCAUUGUCAGCAUUACAUUCUGUGUUCCCUAUUCGGGGAGACGUUUAUACAGAAGUGCACAAUUUACUGUAAUGUCAUUAUACUGAUACCAAAACCAUUAUGUUCUAUUGUAUGAUUACACCUCUUAUGAUAAUGGGAUCGUUCAAAUACAUAUUUAUGAUCCAAGAUUUUCUUUAAGGUCAACAUAGUUGGAUUUUAUUUGUAUUUUUUACUGAAGGUCAUUUGAAAGUAACAAAUUGUGCACACUGCUGUUUUUAAAUGCACUUUUGUGACAACCUGAUGUAUGUACAGUUAUCUAAUUAAUAUUUUUGCUAAUGUAGAUGUGAAUUGGCCCCCUCGCGAUAUUAAGACUGGUCGAUACACAAACAUUCCCUUCAGAUAAACGUGACUGUUCUUUUUGUAAUGAUGGUUCCCUUCAAAAAUUAGGGAUCUUUUUUUGCCAACUGUCCAGCCAUAAUGAAAUGCUACAUUUGAUCAGGUAACAAUGUGGAUGUCUUUUCAAUGCUGUCUCAUCCUCUAUCACAGACCUUUUAGAAGGUCCUGAAUCUCCUCUGAUUUACUCUAUUUUGUUUAUGUAUAGAUGGCAAUAAUGUUUAGAUGAUUGAAUCUAUUUUAGAGAACUCCAAGGAAAAUUCUGUGCAAUGUUUGACUGACUGCGUUUAGUGUCUCAACUGUGUGGUCCACAAUGUGUUUUAAAAAUAUAUAUUUUGUAUUGUCAACCAGUUGUGGAGUGACACAUGUUUCUAACCUUUUGAAUAAAAUCUUGCUCUUUUCUGA